UGGGGAAUAUUCGACAAUGGGCGCAAGCCUGCUCCAGCCAUGCCGCGUGUGUGAUGAAGGCCUUUUGGUUGUAAAGCACUUUAAGCGAGGAGGAGGCUAUUUGGAUUAAUACUCUAGGAUAGUGGACGUUACUCGCAGAAUAAGCCCCGGCUAUCUCUGUGCCAGCAGCCGCGGUAAUACAGAGGGUGCGAGCGUUAAACGGAUUUACUGGGCGUAAAGCGUGCGUAGGCAGCUUUUUAAGUCGGAUGUGAAAUCCCUGAGCUUAACUUAGGAAUUGCAUUCGAUACUGGGAGGCUAGAGUAUAGGAGAGGAUGGUAGAAUUCCAGGUGUAGCGGUGAAAUGCGUAGAGAUCUGGAGGAAUACCGAUGGCGAAGGAAGCCGACUGGCCUAAUUCUGACGCUGAGGUACGAAAGCAUGGGGAGCAAACAGG
rnacentral:rRNA from 1 species